rnacentral:rRNA from 1 species
ACCGGACCUUCGGGCCCGGGGAAAGCGGCGAACGGGUGAGUAACACGUGGGUAACCUGUCCUUGGCACCGGGAUAGCCCGGGGAAACCCGGAUUAAUACCGGACGGUCUCCGAAGUCUUUGGACGUCGGAGAAAAGGUGGCUUCGGCAUCCGGCCGAGGAGGGGCCUGCGGCGGAUUAGCUUGUUGGUGGGGUAACGGCCUACCAAGGCGACGAUCCGUAGCUGGUCUGAGAGGACGAUCAGCCACACUGGGACUGAGACACGGCCCAGACUCCUACGGGAGGCAGCAGUGGGGAAUCUUGCGCAAUGGGCGAAAGCCUGACGCAGCGACGCCGCGUGCGGGAAGAAGGCCUUCGGG